AAGAAAAGAUACCAUUAUAUUUUAUUUCUCCAAUCUUAGAAAUAUAUUAAAAGAAAAUCAGCUGACACAUGAAGCAUACGCUUCAGCCAAAACAAUUGGGCAUCUACCAACAACAACCAAAACUGGAAACUACAUACAAGAACAAUAGUUCAUCUACAAUCAUGUCACAAAACUUUAUCAACUAUCUUGUGCUGUUAGUUAAGCUUGUUAACUUUAAAGAAACAGAAUGAACUGAACAAUAGUCAACCACUUUUCCUGGGAGUGCUUUAAAUUUUGCUUCGUGAUCAACCACUUUUUUCGAGAGUUCUUGAAUCACAUGAAGGAUCUUACAUUAGAUUCCACGAUUGCUGCAAAAAACAAAAAAAGAAGAAGUACAUAUCUCCGCGAAUGCAAUGGCCCUUGAUGUAAACUUGUAACUAAACGAACAUGCUAAUUUUUUUCUUUUGUGCAGAAAAUGUAGUUAUCUAUCGUAACUAACAUCUUCGUCUCCAAUAUUUUUGGGGCAUUAUGAGUGCAAUAUUGGAAUUACUCUAAUUCAGAACGAGAAAAGAAAUAAAAUUAAAAUGUUUCCGGCAUUUCAUCAAACAGGUAAGGGACACAUUGACUUAGCAAACUUGGUUACUUCUAAUUGUCCUUUGAAAAUGCAGUAAUCUCUUUCAAAUUAAAAUGAUGAAGAAAUCCUUACAGUGAGAAGCCAGAUACAUUAAGAAUGAAGAAAUUUAGUUUAAGAAAUAUCAAAAAUCGAAAUACAAUUGGAAAAUCUCUAACUUUUCCGGUGGUUAUUGAUUCUUUACCUUGUUUGAGGUGUGGAAAAAUAGCUCUAACUUCUCUUUUUGCUCAGGUUUGAAGUCUUUUUUGGCGAAGGUGAAAGACGAUCGGGCGGGAGGGACAAUCUUGGAAAAUUCAGGGGAAAAGGCAUGUGCUGGGCAUGCUCGUUCAUUGCUACCGUUAUUUUUUGUGAUUAAAUUUAACAGAAGAAUGUUUCUUGCAGCUCUUUAAAUAGUACAGGAUAAUUUUUGUUCACCAGGUAAUACAAGGACUUGGUCUAGGACUAUAGUUU
rnacentral:lncRNA from 1 species